CCAAAAUACCAUUAAUUUUCAUGAACCCCUAAUCUAUAAUGAAUGACUCCAUAUUUAUAUGGAAGACACCAUGCUAGGAUUAGUAACAAGAAUUUAUAAUUCUCCAAAAUGCAAAUAUAAACCAACAUGGAUGGACCAUUGGUAGUUACCGAACCUAAAUUCAAUGCAACAACACCUACAAGAAAACUCUGCAGUACUUACUCGUUAACCUAACACCAGCGCAUUACAGGAAAGAUUUAAAAAAAGAGAAGGAAUUCGGCAAAUGACGGCCCCGCCUGUUUACCAAAAACAUCGCCUCUUGACUUAUAAUAAGAGGUCCAGCCUGCCCAGUGAAUUUUAAACGGCCGCGGUAUCCUAACCGCGCGAAGGUAGCAUAAUCACUUGUUCUUUAAAUGGGGACUCGUAUCAACGGCAUCACGAGGGUUUUACUGUCUCCUCUUUUUGAUCAGUGAAAUUGAUCUUCCCGUGAAGAAGCGGGAAUAAAUUUAUAAGACGAGAAGACCCCAUGGAGCUUUAAACCAAAUAACAACUUAACCACUUAUCCCAUAAUAAAUUUAAGCCCUGUUAUAAGGUUUUUGGUUGGGGUGACCGCGGAGUAAAACACAUCCUCCACGACGAAAAAAACAGAAUUUUUAUUUAAGAACCACACUUCUAGAAAUUAGUAUACUAACGUUUACUGACCCGACAAUCGAUCAACGGACCAAGUUACCCUGGGGAUAACAGCGCAAUCUACUUCAAGAGCUCAUAUCGACAAGUAGGCUUACGACCUCGAUGUUGGAUCAGGGUAUCCCGGUGGUGCAGCCGCUACCGAAGGUUCGUUUGUUCAACGAUUAAAACCCUACGUGAUCUGAU
rnacentral:rRNA from 1 species